rnacentral:lncRNA from 1 species
AUUAAGAACAAGACACUUAACAAUUAAUAGGGCUCUACAUCCACAGUAUACUCUAUAUAAUACUCGUGUCACCUCUAGUUCAAUAAUCAUAAUACGUGGGAGAUACCUUAUACCUUAUAUAACUUGAAAAUAAAAAUUAUACCAUGCAUGAUCAAGAACCACUGCUGCCUCCGCCAUGGUCGUCGUGAUCGUUGUCUGCAUUGAAUAUGUUGAAAGGGAAAUGAGGCGUCGGUCUUGUCGUUGUUGCGUUCUGAAAGUGUAACUGCUGCUGCUGUCGUUGAUAAUUCUGAUGAUGAUUAUCACUCAUCAUCUCCAGCUGAUUAUUAUAAGCUGAAUAUGGCUGCGGCGGUGGUGGCAUCAACAUUGUCGUCGGCUGAUCAUGUGGAGAAUUAGUGGUACUAGUACUAGCCGAAUUAGUAGUAUUGUUCGACAGUGCCAAAUACGACGAAGGCAGAAAAAAAUUCGCACCACCACCACCGCUACCACCACUACUACUAGAUACAUGAUUAUGAUCAUGUCCAUAGUUAUUCCCCAAUCCUAGUAUAGGUAGCUGAUUUUGAUAGUGAUUCUGAUUAUGAUGAUGAUC